UGCCAGACUCCUACGGGAGGCAGCAGUGGGGAAUAUUGCACAAUGGGCGAAAGCCUGAUGCAGCGACGCCGCGUGAAGGAUGAAGUCUUUCGGUAUGUAAACUUCUCUCAGCAGGGAAGAAAAUGACGGUACCUGACUAAGAAGCCCCGGCUAACUACGUGCCAGCAGCCGCGGUAAUACGUAGGGGGCAAGCGUUAUCCGGAAUUACUGGGUGUAAAGGGAGCGUAGACGGUGAAGUAAGUCUGGAGUGAAAGGCGGGGGCCCAACCCCCGGACUGCUCUGGAAACUAUUUGACUGGAGUGCAGGAGAGGUAAGCGGAAUUCCUAGUGUAGCGGUGAAAUGCGUAGAUAUUAGGAGGAACACCAGUGGCGAAGGCGGCUUACUGGACUGUAACUGACGUUGAGGCUCGAAAGCGUGGGGAGCAAACAGGAUUAGAUACCCCAGUACU
rnacentral:rRNA from 1 species